rnacentral:tRNA from 1 species
GGUCCCAUAGUUAAACCGGAUAUAACAGGGCUUUCCUAAAGCUCAAUUAGGGGUUCAAGUCCCUUUGGGACCACCA